GGCGAGUGGCGAACGGGUGAGUAAUAUAUCGGAACGUGCCCAGUCGUGGGGGAUAACGUAGCGAAAGCUACGCUAAUACCGCAUACGAUCUACGGAUGAAAGCGGGGGACUCGCAAGAGCCUCGCGCGAUUGGAGCGGCCGAUAUCAGAUUAGGUUGUUGGUGAGGUAAAAGCUCACCAAGCCUGCGAUCUGUAGCUGGUCUGAGAGGACGACCAGCCACACUGGAACUGAGACACGGUCCAGACUCCUACGGGAGGCAGCAGUGGGGAAUUUUGGACAAUGGACGCAAGUCUGAUCCAGCAAUGCCGCGUGCAGGACGAAGGCCUUCGGGUUGUAAACUGCUUUUGUACGGAACGAAACGGCCUGCUUUAAUACAGUGGGCUAAUGACGGUACCGUAAGAAUAAGCACCGGCUAACUACGUGCCAGCAGCCGCGGUAAUACGUAGGGUGCGAGCGUUAAUCGGAAUUACUGGGCGUAAAGCGUGCGCAGGCGGUUAUAUAAGACAGAUGUGAAAUCCCCGGGCUCAACCUGGGACCUGCAUUUGUGA
rnacentral:rRNA from 1 species